UACGGAGGGGCUAGCGUUGUUCGGAAUUACUGGCGUAAAGCGCACGUAGGCGGCUUUGCAAGUUAGAGGUGAAAGCCCGGGGCUCAACUCCGGAAUUGCCUUUAAACUGCAUCGCUAGAAUUGUGGAGAGGUAAGUGGAAUUCCGAGUGUAGAGGUGAAAUUCGUAGAUAUUCGGAAGAACACCAGUGGCGAAGGCGACUUACUGGACACAUAUUGACGCUGAGGUGCGAAAGCGUGGGAGCAACAGG
rnacentral:rRNA from 1 species